GAUGAACGCUGGCGGCGUGCCUAAUACAUGCAAGUCGAGCGAACAGACGAGGAGCUUGCUCCUCUGACGUUAGCGGCGGACGGGUGAGUAACACGUGGAUAACCUACCUAUAAGACUGGGAUAACUUCGGGAAACCGGAGCUAAUACCGGAUAAUAUAUUGAACCGCAUGGUUCAAUAGUGAAAGACGGUUUUGCUGUCACUUAUAGAUGGAUCCGCGCCGCAUUAGCUAGUUGGUAAGGUAACGGCUUACCAAGGCAACGAUGCGUAGCCGACCUGAGAGGGGGAUCGGCCACACUGGAACUGAGACACGGUCCAGACUCCUACGGGAGGCAGCAGUAGGGAAUAUUCGGCAAUGGGCGAAAGCCUGACGGAGCAACGCCGCGUGAGUGAUGAAGGUCUUCGGAUCGUAAAACUCUGUUAUUAGGGAAGAACAAAUGUGUAAGUAACUAUGCACGUCUUGACGGUACCUAAUCAGAAAGCAACGGCUAACUACGUG
rnacentral:rRNA from 1 species